CUUGAGAUGUGUGCGGCUCCUAACGGGUUGCGGGUAAAAUAAAGAAGGAUAUAUUUUCCACUCGGAUCUCCACCUUCCUAUUUUCUUGGGCUAGCCCCGUAUAUCGCUUGAUAUAAAACCAUGCAACGCUAAUCCCUUUCUCUCUCUCAGAGCGUUCUUUCUCUUUCUCCAUGUUUCUCGGUCAAAAUCUUCACGUAAAGCUGGAUCUGGAAAAAUCAUUAGAGACAGAAGGGGUCGCGGGCAACGUUGAUGGCUGAUGGGAUUAGGAGCAUGGAUGUAUGUUCCAACGUAUUCAUCCAGAGGACCCAAUCUAUAAUAUUCCUCCUAGUCGAUUUAUAAUAUAAUCAGAUUUUUUAUGAUCAUGGAUUAGGACCAUGUUCCAAGGCGUUCAUCUAGCCGAUACAUCAACCAUGCAUCUAGAAAAACACAUCCGUCGUGUAAGAUUGCGAUGCGCAACGACCACCAAUAUAAGAUUGUUAUGGUGCGGCGACGGUGACAACGAUUUACGGCUGCACACGCCGACGAGCGACUACUCUAUGAGGUAGCAGAGACGACUACAUACUACUGCACAUCUCGGAUGGCUCACCGGCGAGGCGAGCGGCGGCUGCGUCGCAAUACUGUUUAUGGCCGACAUGUGACUGCUCCAGCACGGCGGCAGCGGCGACGACGGCGAUGUACAUAUACUCACAGUAUAUACUCCAUCGUGAGAGAUGGCGAUGUAUGAGAAGGAAGAACAUGCGUACAUGCAUUGAUGGAAACAACAUGUGUAUAUGGUGUUUCAAACCAAUCGCUCAGGAGUCCAUGAAGCCAUGAAUGUAUUUGUAUUUAGCGUAUCCAUCAACGUGACAUACUGAUAUUUAUAUAUACUCCAUAUUUCCUUUUC